UGGGGAAUAUUGGACAAUGGGCGCAAGCCUGAUCCAGCCAUGCCGCGUGAGUGAUGAAGGCCCUAGGGUUGUAAAGCUCUUUUGUGCGGGAAGAUAAUGACUGUACCGCAAGAAUAAGCCCCGGCUAACUUCGUGCCAGCAGCCGCGGUAAUACGAAGGGGGCUAGCGUUGCUCGGAAUCACUGGGCGUAAAGGGUGCGUAGGCGGGUCUUUAAGUCAGGGGUGAAAUCCUGGAGCUCAACUCCAGAACUGCCUUUGAUACUGAGGAUCUUGAGUUCGGGGGAGGUGAGUGGAACUGCGAGUGUAGAGGUGAAAUUCGUAGAUAUUCGCAAGAACACCAGUGGCGAAGGCGGCUCACUGGCCCGAUACUGACGCUGAGGCACGAAAGCGUGGGGAGCAAACA
rnacentral:rRNA from 1 species